AAAAAUAAAACCAGCUUGGGACUCAUCCACAGGAAUUUCUGUGGGAUAUCACUCUGAACUGGGCUUUCAGAGAGCAAUUUGAAGUGGCACCACUCAGUCCUGCAAUAGUUGUCACAGGCUUCUGGGAGGACUAGCUCCCUGUUUUGUGCCACUAUUGAAAGCAAAGGGACACUCUGUUUUGUAUAACUUUGUAAAUAUCAGGCAGUCAAUUGUGUUAGCUGUAUGGGUAUGACAACACCAGGAGCCCAAAACCACAACCAAAGCUGCAAUGCAUUCGAAAAAAAAUGAAAGCAUAGUUUGACUUACAGACUUCAGCCAGAAAUAUUCAAGUCACUCGGUUUGUAUCAAAGAGCUUUAAAAGCAUCAUAAGGUGCAACACUGAUCACUGCUGAACAAUCCUCAGGAGAUCUGGACAGAAGGAACUUGAAGAAUGAAAAAGAAAAGACAUCAGAAAAUCCCAAACUCAUAAGAGCACUUCACACCAAUGGCCAUAACAUUUGGGAAUAGGGAGUUACAAGAUGGAUGGCAUAAGAUCUGUUGCAUUUUGAGGAUGAAGGAAGCCCCAGGAAAACCCUGUGGGGCAGCACUGCAGCAAAGGACCCAUGGGAUGGGUUGGAGGAUGUGGUUGUGUGGAUGCAGGCAGAUGUAGCACCAGCAUCCUUAUAGGGUGGCUGUCUCCCAGAGCUCUGGUCUCAGUCAGGAUCCAAAAUCCAGGAUUUCUUCCAUGUGGAAAAUAAAGGACUACUCUUUGAAAACCCAUUCUGUAACGCAAAACAAAGCCACGCAGCUUUCGGAUUUGAAACAUAGCAACCAGGGCUGGUGCAAAAGCAUGGAAUUCCUACAGUUUUUCUAUCCUGUUAACUCACUCCAGGUGUUAGAGCAGAGGGACCAUUAUGAAAAAUAUAUGUCUUGUCAAAUUCUAGCUCCUUUUUCACUACACAGUUUAUGAAACAAAUGGUUUCCUUAAUUUAGUAUGCUGUCAGGCUUUUCUUCUCAUGUUCAUUGAUAUUUUUUCCUAGAUGCAAAUUCCAGUAACAGGAUUAUACUUAUG